UACGUAGGGAGCGAGCGUUGUCCGGAAUUACUGGGCGUAAAGGGUGCGUAGGCGGUUGUUUAAGUCAGAUGUGAAAAGCCCGGGCUUAACCCGGGAGGUGCAUCUGAUACUGGACGGCUCGAGUGCAGGAGAGGAAAGCGGAAUUCCUAGUGUAGCGGUGAAAUGCAUAGAUAUUAGGAGGAACACCAGAGGCGAAGGCGGCUUUCUGGACUGCAACUGACGCUGAGGCACGAAAGCGUGGGGAG
rnacentral:rRNA from 1 species